GCUAUUUCAAUUCGUCGCGGCGCGAAUUACGCGCUAUAAAUCAGCCUGGAUACUUUUAUGUGGCGUUCGAUCGCGAAAGAGGUAAACGCGUCGAUUAUCGUGACCUCCGGCCGAUCUAGGAAUUCCUGUUGCUCGACGGAAAAGCGCGGUGCGUUAUGGAGUGUCGUCGGCGAAGCGUGUGGCGAUUGCAUUGUGAUGUAACGCAUGAUUCAAUGGAACAGGGGAUCAUUCACGUCGGUUGGUGACACGUGCCUGGCUCGUUUGCAAAUUGGUCAAUUAUUAUCGAUCACCGAUGGAUAUUGGUCGGUAUUUUAAUCGAACGUUAUCCUUCCUUCUUUCGUUCAACCUUUACGGGGGGAUGAACAUGUUGCUGCAACCUGUAGGACAGGAAGUAAAGAAGAAGUGGAAAAAAGAGCGUUUAGUUGCUACCAAGAGAGGAAUAGCCGAGCUGUUUAACCGGAGCGAAGAGAGAUCUCAAAGGGGCAGGUAUUUAUUACGGAAGAAGUUGACUCCGGGAACAGUGUCAGCAUUCAUUCUCGUCAUCACGGGGUGCCGUGAGCGUGUCCGUAAAAAUGUACAAGAUGUUCAAAGGGAGACUAAUUACAAAGUGGUUUGCGUGGCGGACGGCCGAGCUUUUGAAAUUUGAUCGAGCAACCGAUCGCCUCUCCCUGGUCUGGCGUCGAAGUUUAUCCUCAGUUGGCCAGGCGGAUGACGCAUCGUCGAAAAGAAUACGAAAUGAACGUGUGCCCCCACGAACCCGUUACCCAUACUACUCCCCGGCGAACUCGAGCUCCCUAUCGUAUAAAGUACAAGGUGUACACACACACAUACACACACGCGCGCGCGCACGCACACACGUAUAAUCGGUGGAGGCAGGAAGGACUGAAAAACCGGGGACUGAAUCGCUUCGAGGAUAUCGGCAAAAAAAGCUCAUUUGGUAUUUCGUUGGCUAAAACGUUCGCAAAUAUUUGCAAUGUAAUUAUUGAAGGAGCACAUCGAUCCGUGCGAAGAUGUGGUUUCGCACUUUCCUGCCUUGUUCGUGGACCUCUCCUUCUGUGAUUGCUAAACGCUUCGCGUGACAAAUUUCUUGUUAUGUCAGAAAACAGAAAUGUUUUAACUGACGAUUUGAUUGAUUUAUCGACUAUACGCGAGGGUUCAGCGCGUAGAUAAUACAGUGCGUAUAUAAUCAUUCGCUGGUAAAAAAAAUAUAUAUAUAUAUAUGCUUGUACUACUUUUAUAUUGAACUCCCGAUAUAUCCCGGUAAUUUAUUUCAGUUGAAUUCAAACGCGAUAAAUCCUGAAGACGUUACAUCUCUCGAGCGUUUUAUCUACGCUUCCUAUCGCAACUUUGACAAUUAUCAUGAAUCAAGUCUCGUAUCCUGUGUACGCCUUCGCGGUUAACGAAGGCGGGAAAAUGUCUUUUUUCGCAUUUCCGCAGAGCCUCAUUCCGUGAAAUCACUUGCAGUGUCGUCAAACGAGAUCACGAAGUCUGGUUACACGCGACUCUAAUGACACCGUGUAGCCGGGCUAGAGUACAUCGGUGUCGCUGAACCCCGGCGCCUCGAGGCACUUCACAGGCGGAGGCCACGCAGAAGAAUCCACGGACGUGCACCUCUAUACUUUGCACCAUUACGCUUAAUCUACGACCUGCCUUUGCAUCGUGUCGAUUCAUAGAGGUACGCCGACGUAGAAACGAACGUCACCGACCAACACGACUCGUCCGAUGUCCCUCCGUUGAUUUGUGAUCUCGUGACCGGAAGAAAAACCCCACGAACACGUGGUACAUUGCGCGCAUUGCGCCACACGGACCAGUAGGUACUCGAGGAAUUUCAAAGCUAUGUUAGCUCUGGCGAAUCUUAUGUAAAUCGAAGAAGCGUGUGCUCACCGUCGCUUUCUCACCUUUCCUUCUGAAUUAUGCAUCAGCAAACGGUUCAACUAGCACGACUAUGUGAGUCGGCAGCCAUCACAAAUCGAUGAGUGCCGUCAAGGUUAUUUAACCAUUCUAAGUCGAUGUC